rnacentral:rRNA from 1 species
UAGGCAACACCGUUGAUCGUCGUAAGGUCGCCCGAACUGCUGACACUCAGCACUGCAGCACCGCUGCUACUCUGCACUUCGAGCUGAUUUACCGUUGCGCCUGCAGAUGCCCGAAUGAUGAGCCCCUUCUCUGAAGCACUAGUCGAAGUGAUAUGCAGUUUGCCUGCUGGGGAUGUUGUUCCCAGACCGAUCUGUGUGCCGUUGUCAUAGAGUAGACUUGUGCCCAGAGAACUGGCAGAAGUAUACUUCGUUAGAUAAUGACUGGUACCAUUGAUCGUGGCUGCAUUGAGCAGUGCAGUCCAACUCAAAGCGCCGCUUCCAUCGUUAGCCAGAACACUGCCUGCCAGACCCUGAGCGGCGGGCAGGACAAGUGAGUAUGUUGAGUCGAGAACUGGCGCACUAAGUUGGACGGUCUUACCGUUUCCGUUAUGUUGGACAUUGAUCUGACGUGUUAGAAUCGGCAACUGCGCCUUUACUGUUCCAGCCACACAGAGCAGCAACAGAAAAAAUGCAGUAGCGAAUUGAUUAUGCAGUUUCAUGAUCGAACAUCCAUUGAACGUGACAAAGAAAACAUUGCCCCACCUCUGUCGAAUCGCAGAAGUGGGGCGAUGCAAACACUACUGAGCUGCCAAUACCAUGUAGCUGAAGCUGCCAUUGUAGGCGCCGGAGAACGUAACUGUGAAGCCUGUGCCGGCAGUGCGUGAUGUGACGGUAGCAGUAACGGAUGUGCUGCCCUCGAGUGUUACGAGGAUAGCAUCCGAUGCUGUAAGUGUGGUAAGCCCCGUUACAGUAUGAGAUGUAACGCUGCCGCCUGUUGACACAAGAGCGGCGCUGCGAAUACCAACAGCAUUGUUGAUGCUUUGCCACUGAGGUGUCGCACCUGUGCCCUUGGAUACAAGGACAUAGCCAUCAGUACCAGCUGAACCAUUCAUCUGCAGCUCUCGCGUGGUGCCCGAGAGAUUGAUGUUUCCGGUAACCGUUAGGUCGCCGGUUAGUCCAAGGUUGCCCGUCAUGUUCAUCGCACCUGUGUGACCGAUCGUACCAACCGUAGUUAUUGUACCCCCUGUGCGACCGAUGGUCACUGUGCCCGCAGUUGUACCGGUGCCGAUAUUCGUUGCACUUGUGCCUGUUCCAGCAUUGAUGUUUGCUGUUCCGGUAAGGUUUGAUGUGCCAAGGAGGUUAACAGUAUUGCCAGCCUUUCCGAUGUUGGUUGUUGUUCCGGCAUUUGUGCCAUCAUUGAUGCCAAUCGUACCAUCGGCUGCAACAGUCAUGCGCUCGAGAUUAUUCGGGAUCACGCUGAUAGACUAAGGGUUCCGCGGCAAUGUUAAUCAACCGCGGGUAAGUCGGGACCUAAUCAAAAGCCGAGAGGCGUAUGAGAUGGCCAACUGGUUAAUAAUCCAGUACUGCCCUAUACAGCGAUGGAGAGACGGAGAAGUGACAGUCUUGCGGCCUUACGGAAUAGGCCGUUUAAGGGUGUAGUUAAAUAUCUGACAGGCAAAUCCGUUAGAUAUGGCGAACCUGAAAGUAGCGGGAGGCUUCGGCCGACUGCAGUAGACGUAAACAAGCUUCCGAGAAAAUCUUCUAAGCGUUAAUGUGUAGGGUACCCGUACCGCAAACCGACACAGGUAGUCAAGGAGAGAAUCCUGAGGUGCUCGAGUGAAUCGUGGCUAAGGAACUCGGCAAAAUAACCCUGUAACUUCGGGAGAAGGGGUGUCCCGCGCAAGCGGGAUCGCAGAGAAAUGGCCCAGGCGACUGUUUAACAAAAACACAUGGCUAUGCGAAAUCGAAAGAUGAGGUAUAUGGCCUGACACCUGCCCGGUGCUGGAAGGUUAAGGGGGGAUGUUAGUCAGCAAUGGCGAAGCAUUGAACUGAAGCCCCAGUAAACGGCGGCCGUAACUAUAACGGUCCUAAGGUAGCGAAAUUCCUUGUCGGGUAAGUUCCGACCUGCACGAAUGGUGUAACGAUCUGGGCGCUGUCUCAGCCGCGAGCUCGGUGAAAUUGUAGUAACGGUGAAGAUGCCGUUUACCCGUCACGGGACGGAAAGACCCCAUGAACCUUUACUAUAGCUUCACAUUGGUAUUGGGAGAAUGAUGUGUAGGAUAGGUGGGAGGCGUUGAUCCGGGGCCGCUAGGUUCCGGGGAGUCGACGGUGAAAUACCACCCUUUAUUUUCUUGAUGCCUAAUCCCACGUAAGUGGGAGACAUUGUGUGGUGGGUAGUUUGACUGGGGUGGUCGCCUCCGAAAGUGUAUCGGAGGCUUUCAAAGGUAUGCUCAGUACGCUUGGUAACCGUACGUGGAGUGCAAUAGCACAAGCAUGCUUGACAGUGAGAGAGACGUUUCGAGCUGGUGCGAAAGCAGGAUAUAGUGAUCCGGUGGUUCUGUAUGGAAGGGCCAUCGCUCAAAGGAUAAAAGGUACUCUGGAUAACAGGCUGAUCUCCCCCAAGAGCUCAUAUCGACGGGGAGGUUUGGCACCUCGAUGUCGGCUCGUCACAUCCUGGGGCUGGAGAAGGUCCCAAGGGUUCGGCUGUUCGCCGAUUAAAGUGGCACGCGAGCUGGGUUCAGAACGUCGCGAGACAGUUCGGUCCCUAUCUGUUGUGGGCGUAGGAAGAUUGAGAGGAUCUGUCAUUAGUACGAGAGGACCGUGAUGGACAAGCCUCUGGUGUACCUGUUGUGGUGUCAGCUGCAGCGCAGGGUAGCUAUGCUUGGAAGAGAUAAGCGCUGAAAGCAUCUAAGUGCGAAACUCGCCUCAAGAUGAGUUUUCCAUUGAGAGUCGUAGAAGACUACUACGUUGAUAGGCUGCAGGUGUACGGUGUGUAAGCAUUUUAGCCGAGCAGUACUAAUCGCUCGAAGACUUUGUC